ensembl:snoRNA
UGAUGACACUUUCUCCGGAAUCUCUGCAUUUUCUGUGAUGAUUUGUGGUGAACCCUUUUCCAGCUGAUGACUGUAUACUUCAGU